UACGUAGGGUCCGAGCGUUGUCCGGAUUUAUUGGGCGUAAAGAGCUCGUAGGCGGCUCAGUAAGUCAGAUGUGAAAACUCAGGGCUCAACCCGGAGACGCCAUCUGAUACUGCUGUGGCUUGAGUCUGGUAGGGGAUCACGGAAUUCCUGGUGUAGCGGUGAAAUGCGCAGAUAUCAGGAGGAACACCGGUGGCGAAGGCGGGUCUCUGGGCAGUAACUGACGCUGAGGAGCGAAAGCGUGGGGAGCGAACAGG
rnacentral:rRNA from 1 species